AAAUAUUUAAAGGUCAUAAACCCAAAAUUAAAACUUUACUUCAUAUAUUUGACCACACAGUAAAACCAAUUUUAACUUAUGGAAGUGAAAUUUGGGGUGCUUUAGAUUCAAAAAAGUUAUCUGAAAAAGGAGAUUGUUAUUUUGAAAAAUUAUGUAAAGAACUGCAAACAGAAUCAGUUCAUUUAAAAAUCUGUAAAUUUUCACUGGGAGUAGGAAAGAGA
rnacentral:lncRNA from 1 species